GGAGAGAUUAUAUAAGCGCGGAAGCUGCGGCCUCUGGUUUCAUUCCGAUUGACCUUGUUGGAGUGAAAAGCUGCUGCUCACGCACACGCACAUAUCCGCAACAUGUCUGCUGCUCUGGCUCGUCUCAUCCGGCUCCCAAACCUGCUGCAGGCGCCUGUGAGGAGAGGGAUUGCCACAAAGCCCGCCAAGAGCCCAGUGUCUGCCGGGGAAGCCGUGAUUGGGUUUUCCACCUUCUUGGUCUGCGCUCUGGUACCAGCUGGAUGGGUUCUUUCCAAUAUGGAGGCAUAUAAGAAGAGAGACUAAAAAUGAAAGAAGUCAUCUGCCUCUGCAACAUUCCUCCUUCUCCAUAAGACUGACACAUGCAACUGUGCUGGUCCAUAAAGGAAAUGCUUGCCCCUUUUUCGUUAGAUUUCUCCAGCAGCCUGUUACAUUAAACUGUUUACUUCAAUGUA